rnacentral:rRNA from 1 species
AGAGUUUGAUCCUGGCUCAGGAUGAACUUCUAGCGGCAGGCUUAACACAUGCAAGUCGAGGGGCAGCGGGGAGGAAGCUUGCUUUCUCCGCCGGCGACCGGCGCACGGGUGAGUAACACGUAUGCAACCUGCCCCUGUCAGGGGGACAACCCGCCGAAAGGCGGGCUAAACCCGCGUACAUGCCACCGGGGCAUCCCGGAGGCAGGAAAGGCUUCGGCCGGACAGGGAUGGGCAUGCGGCGCAUUAGGCAGUAGGCGGGGUAACGGCCCACCUAACCGACGAUGCGUAGGGGUUCUGAGAGGAAGGUCCCCCACACUGGUACUGAGACACGGACCAGACUCCUACGGGAGGCAGCAGUGAGGAAUAUUGGUCAAUGGUCGGGAGACUGAACCAGCCAAGCCGCGUGAGGGAGGAAGGUACAGAGUAUCGUAAACCUCUUUUGUCAGGGAACAAAGGCGGGGACGUGUCCCCGGAUGAGUGUACCUGAAGAAAAAGCAUCGGCUAACUCCGUGCCAGCAGCCGCGGUAAUACGGAGGAUGCGAGCGUUAUCCGGAUUUAUUGGGUUUAAAGGGUGCGCAGGCGGUCUGUUAAGUCAGCGGUCAAAGCCCGGGGCUCAACCCCGGCCCGCCGUUGAAACUGGCAGUCUCGAGUUGGAGAGAAGUAUGCGGAAUGCGCGGUGUAGCGGUGAAAUGCAUAGAUAUCGCGCAGAACUCCGAUUGCGAAGGCAGCAUGCCGGCUCCACACUGACGCUGAGGCACGAAAGCGUGGGUAUCGAACAGGAUUAGAUACCCUGGUAGUCCACGCAGUAAACGAUGAAUGCUGGCUGUCCGGGGGGAUUGACCCCUGGGUGGCGAAGCGAAAGCGAUAAGCAUUCCACCUGGGGAGUACGCCGGCAACGGUGAAACUCAAAGGAAUUGACGGGGGCCCGCACAAGCGGAGGAACAUGUGGUUUAAUUCGAUGAUACGCGAGGAACCUUACCCGGGCUCAAACGUAGAAUGACAGACGGUGAAAGCCGUUCUCCCUUCGGGGCAGUCUACGAGGUGCUGCAUGGUUGUCGUCAGCUCGUGCCGUGAGGUGUCGGCUUAAGUGCCAUAACGAGCGCAACCCCCAUCUACAGUUGCUAACAGGUAAAGCUGAGGACUCUGUGGAGACUGCCGGCGCAAGCUGUGAGGAAGGCGGGGAUGACGUCAAAUCAGCACGGCCCUUACGUCCGGGGCGACACACGUGUUACAAUGGCAGGUACAGCGGGAAGCCAUAUGGCGACAUAGAGCGGAACCCGAAAACCUGUCUCAGUUCGGAUUGGAGUCUGCAACUCGACUCCAUGAAGCUGGAUUCGCUAGUAAUCGCGCAUCAGCUACGGCGCGGUGAAUACGUUCCCGGGCCUUGCACACACCGCCCGUCA